rnacentral:rRNA from 1 species
UUAAGUCUUUAUUUUUGUAUUGUAAUAGGCUACGUUUUAAUAAGCUAUAUGUAAAUAUAGUGCUUAGGCGGAGCUUACUAACAUACAAAUUAAAGAUUAAAUUAGUAUUGAAUGAAACUUUGUUUAUAUAUCGAUAAUGACGAUAUAUAUAUUAUGUCUUGACCAAUUACGUGCCAGCAGUCGCGGUAAUACGUAAGAGACUAGUGUUAUUCAUCUUAAUUAGGUUUAAAGGGUACUCAAACGGUCUGUUUUGCACAAAAGACUAGAGUUAUAUAGAAGAAGGUAGUACCUUAAGUGUAGAGAUAAAAUUUUGUUAUACUGGAGGGACUUAGAAAAGGCGUAGGCAACCUUCUAAGUAAUAACUGACGUUGAAGGACGAAGGCAUAGGUCACGAACAGGACUAGUAACCCAAGUAGUCUUUGCAGUCAAUGAUGAAUGCCAUAGGUUAGAUAAAAAUUUAGUCUAUAAAUGAAAAUGUAAGCAUUUCACCUCAAGAGUAAUGUGGCAACGCAGGAACUGAAAU